AGGAAUUGUGAUUUAUAUAAAAAUCUAAAACCCUCUUUAAAAAGGAAUUAUAGUUGAUAUGAUAAUAGUGAAAUAAAAACAAAAAAAAAAAACAAAAUAUGUUAUUUAUAAAUUGUGAUUUACUAUGAGGUUGUCUUUUUGUAGUUAAAAACUAAACCCAAACAUACCAUACUUAUUGAUAAUUCUAUUUAUUACACAC
rnacentral:lncRNA from 1 species